CCAAAUGAAACACAAGUCUAGAUGAUACUUAUGCAAUCAAGGCGACAAGAGUGAUUCAAUUCAUGCUUAUGCUCACUAGUUUUAUCAAUGCCAAUGAUCCAAAUAGCUUAGACAUACUUCUAAAUGCUUAUAAGACAUCACUGAUGGAUUUAACUAUGGCAUAGCAACAAUCAGAACUGGACUGAGACAAGACAAGUAGAUUUCAAUCUCUUAACAAUGACAAUGCAAGUUCUAUUUUUUUUUUUUUAAGUUCUCUAAAUGCAAUACAAGCUUAUCAGCACAUUUGCAAUUUAGGCUCAUUUUUAAAUGCAUUAUUACAUGAAUGCACAAUCUUAAAGCUUUAGCUAUAUGAAUGCAACAGGUUCAAUCCAUGAGCAAUAUUAAGGCUAUGCACAACAGUUUCAAUCAAAACCAAUGAUGCAAACAACUUAGACAAUUUCUAAUUGAUGCAAGACUUUCAUUGAUGGAUUAAAC
rnacentral:lncRNA from 1 species